AUUGAACGCUGGCGGCAGGCCUAACACAUGCAAGUCGAACGAGUGGCGGACGGGUGAGUAAUGUCUGGGAAACUGCCCUAUGGAGGGGGAUAACUACUGGAAACGGUAGCUAAUACCGCCUACCAUCGGAUGUGCCCAGGUGGGAUUAGCUAGUGGGUGGGGUAACGGCUCACCUAGCCGACGAUCCCUAGCUGGUCUGAGAGGAUGACCAGCCACACUGGGACUGAGACACGGCCCAGACUCCUACGGGAGGCAGCAGGGGGGAAUAUUGCACAAUGGGCGCAAGCCUGAUGCAGCCAUGCCGCGUGAAUGAAGAAGGCCUUCGGGUUGUAAAGUUCUUUCGGUGAGGAGGCGUUACCCGCAGAAGAAGCACCGGCUAACUACGUGCCAGCAGCCGCGGUAAUUC
rnacentral:rRNA from 1 species